rnacentral:lncRNA from 1 species
CGUGCCCCGCGCGCAGGGGACUUGCCUUCUGGGGUGGGUCGUAAGAGCACGCUGUCCAUCGCCAUCCAAUAAGAAGGCGCGCUUACCCGCCCUACUCCGCGUGACCUGCUGGGAGUUGUGGUUUGGCCUCUGCCCUGUGACACCUGGUCCUCUUGUGCUUUCCUCUCAGUUGAUUGAGGCUUACAGUUUUUUGGUGGCUUGACUUUCCUGAGGUUUGCUCCCUGCCAGCAGCUCGGGUACGGCCCUGGCCUGCCUAGCUCGAGGCCUCCUUAUUGUCCGUUAGUGUGAGAGAAAUGGAAGGGAGCUUCUUCGGGAGUAAGUUUAAGCCAUCUCCAGCUGGUUGGCGGGGCGCGGUGGCUCACGCCUGUAAUCCCAGCACUUUGGUAGGCCGCGGCGAGUGGACCACCUGAGGUCAGGAGUUCUAGACCAGCCUGGCCAACAUGGUGAAACCCCAUCUCUACCAAAAAUACAAAAAUUACCCGGGCUUGGUGGCAGGCGCCUGUAAUCCCAGCUACUCGGGAGGCUGAGGCAGGAGAAUCACUUAAACCCGGGAGGCAGAGAUUGCAGUGAGCCUAGACUGUGUCACUGCACUCCAGCCUGGACAAUAGAGCAAGACUCCGUCUCAGAAAAAAGGAAAGAAAGAAAGAGGCCGGGCGCAGUGCCUCACGCUUGUAAUCCUAGCACUUUGGGAGGCCGAGGCGGGUGGAUCACGAGGUCAGGAGUUCAAGACCAGUCUGGCCAAGAUGGUGAAACCCCGUCUCUACUAAAAAUACAAAAAUUACCCGGGCGUGGUGGCGCAUGCCUGUAAUCUCAGCUACUCAGGAGGCUGAGGCAGAGAAUUGCUUGAACCCGGGAGGCGGAUGUUGCCGUGAGCCGAGAUCGCGCCACUGCACUCCAGCCUCACAACAGAGCAAGACUCCGUCUCAAAAAAGAAAAAGAAAGAGGUUGGGCGCAGUGGCUCACGCUUGUAAUCCCAGCACUUUGGGAGGCCGCGGCGGGCGGAUCACGAAGUCAGGAGAUCGAGACCAUCCUGGCUAACACGGUGAAACCCUGUCUCUACUAAAAAUACAAAAAAUUAGCCGAGCGUGGCGGCAGCCGCCUGUAGUCCCAGCUACUGGGGAGGCUGAGGCAGGAGAGUGGCAUGAACCCGGGAGGCGGAGCUUGCAGUGAGCCGAGAUUUGCGCCACUGCACACCAGCCUGGGCGACAGAGCAAGACUCCGUCUGAAAAAAAAGAAAGAAAGAAAAGGGGCUGAUGGCCGUGCACCCACAGAAGGCCCUGGCUCCUGGCCCUCCCAGCCCUUCUACCUGAAACCUGACAAUAGAAACCAAAUUCAGCAGCCUACAAGACUUGGAAGAAGCCACAAUCAUGCCACUGUAUUUCAGCCUGAGCAACAGAGCAAGACCCCAUCUCAAGGAAAAAAAAAUUCCAACCACAGAAGGAUGGUGCUUGCAGCAGUGUGGCCACAGUAGAAACAGGAGACAGACCUGUUGGACUGGAAUGAAGGAAGAUAGGGAAGAAUUUGGGAGAAACAGUUUUGGUAGGAAGAGCAGGAGCUCAGUUUUGGGUAGGUAGAGUUUUCUAAUAACCAGUAGACAAGUGAGAUGUGGAGCUGGAAGUCGGUUCCAUCAGUCUGGAGUUCAGGAUAAAGAUCAGGACUAGAGAUGCAAAUCUGGGAGGUAUCAGCAUGUUGCUAAUAUCUAAAGCCACAGGCCUGGAUGAGAUAACCAAGGGAGUAAAGGAGUAAGCAGAGAUGGGAAAGCAAAGUUUAAGCCUUGAACACCUAGGCCACACCAGUGCUAACAGGUUUCAGGGAAGAGGAGGAACAGAACUAUGGGUAUUUUGGCCAGGUGCGGUGGCUCAUGCCUGUAAUCCCAGCACUUUGGGAAGGCCAAGGUGGGUGGAUCACCUGAGUUCAGGAGUUUGAGACCAGUCUAGCCAACAUGGUGAAACCUCAUCUCUAAUAAAAAUGCAAAAAUUAGCUGGGCAUGGUGGCAGGCACCUGUAAUCCCAGCUACUCAGGAGGCUGAGGCAGGAAAAUCGCUUGAACCUGGGAGGUGGAGGAUGCAGUGAGCCAAGAUCACACCACUGCACUCUAGCCUGCGCAACAGAGUGAGACUGUCUAAAAAAAAAAAAAAAAAAAAAAAAAAAGAAUUAUGGGUAUUUUGACUUUGCUUCUCAAACUAGGCCCUAGGCCUUUACUGAUGGAUCUUUCACUUAUCAGAUAAUACUUUAUCCUCUUAAGAGGUAUAUACCAUAUUAAGGAACUAAUUAUUAUUGGUUUAGGCCCAAUCUCCUUGGGUAAUAAUAAUUGCUACACUUUAUCAAACCACGUGCCUGGCAUGGUGCUGGCACUUCAUCUAUGAUUUCAUUUAAUCCUCGUAAUAACUAUAUGACAUUAUCCCCUGUUUUUUGAGAUGGAGUCUCGCUCUGUCACCAGGCUGGAGUGCAGUGGCACAAUCUCGGCUCACUGUGACCUCCGCCUCCCCGGCUCAAGCGAUUCUUCCAUCUUAGCCUCCCGAGUAGCUGGGACAAUAGGCACAUGCCACCACAUCCAGCUAAUUUUUGUAUUUUUAGUAGAGACAGGGUUUCACUAUGUUGGCCAGAAUGGUCUUGAUCUCUUGACCUCAUGACCACCUGCCUCAGCCUCCCAAAGUGCUGGAUUACAGGCAUGAGCCACUAGCCUGGCCAAUAUUAUCCCCUUUUAUAGUUUUUUUUUUUUUUUCCAAGACAGUCUUGCUCUUUCACCCAGGCUGAAGUGCAGUGGCGCGAUCUCGGCUCACCGCAACCUCUGCCUCCGCCUCCGCCUCCACCUCCAGGGUUCAAACGAUUCUCCUGCCUCAGCCUCCUGAGUAGCUGAGAUUACAGGCUCACACCACCAUGCUCAGCUAAUUUUUUGGUAGUUUUAGUAGAGACGGGGUUUCAGCAUCUUGGCCAGGCUGGUCCCGAACUCCUGACCUCAGGUGAUCCACCCACCUCGGCUUCCCAAAGUUCUGGGAUUAUAGGCAUGAACCACCACUCCCUGCCUCCCCUUUUAUAGUUAAGGAAACCAGAGCCCAGAAAGGUUAAGUAACUUGCCACAGCUGAAAAGUGAAGGCGGAAGAAAUGUAACAAUUAGACGUCUUGUUCUUCCCCAUAUUUCUUCUCUUUUCUAGCUUUAGUGAAGAUGUCAGAACCUGAGGUGCUGCAAGGUUAUAACUCAAGUGUAUCCUUGCUGGGUGUGUAGUCUUAAUUACUCAGGAGGCUGAUGUGGGAGGAUGGCUUGGGCCCAGUAGUUCCUGGCCAGUCUGGGCAACAUAUUGAGACUCUGUCUCAAUAUAAAAAUAAAAACAGUCCAGGCACAGUGGCUCACACCUGUAAUCCCAACACUUUGGGAGGCCAAGGUAGGAGGAUUGCUUGAGCCCAGGAGUUCCAGACCAGCCUGGGCAACAUAAGGAGACGCCAUUUCUACAAAAAAUUUAAAACUUGCCCAAUGUGGUGGCACACACUUGUGGUCCCAGCCACUCGGGAGGCUGAAGUGGGAGGAUCACUUAGGCCCAGGAGGUCAAGGCUGCAGUGAGCCACUGCACUACAGCCUGGGUGACAGAUUAAGACCCUGACUCAAAAAACAAACAAGGCCGGGCAUGGGGGCUCAUGCCUGUAAUCCCAGCACUUUGGGAGGCCGAGGUGGGUGGAUUGCCUGAGGUCGGGAGUUCGAGACCAGCCUGACCAACAUGGAGAAACCCCAUCUCUACUAAAAAUACAAAAUUAGCCGGGUGUGGUGGCACAUGCCUGUAAUCUCAGCUACUUGGGAGGCUAAGGCAGGAAAAUCGCCUGAACCCGGGAGAAGGAGGUUGUGGUGAGCCGAGAUCGCACCAUUGCACUUCAGCCUGGGCAACAAGAGUGAAACACCGUUUCAAAAAAAAAAAAAAAAGUGGAUUAAAACAAAGUUUUAAGUAAUAACCUAAGAUGUUUUAGUAAGUACCCACCAUGAUUUGCUCUGCGAGAAUGUCUUAGGCACAAGUCUUAGCGAGAAAUAUAUGAGAUAUAUGGCCACUUGCUUAGCUAAGUAGAUGUAAUACUUCCAGAUGACAGUAGUACUAUCUGGUGGAGCUGAUGUGCUUAACAGGAAUAGUAAGACUCUGGAAGAAAUCCUGAGCUAAACAUGGAGACUGUCAAGAACUAGUUAGGUAGAAAACUUUAAAUUUGGUCAGGCGCAGUGGCUCACACCUGUAAUCCCAGCACUUUGGGAGGCCGAGGUGGGUGGAUGCGGAUCACAAGGUCAGGAGUUCGAGAUCAGCCUGGCCAACAUUGGUGAAACCCCGUCUCUACUAAAAAUACAAAAAUUAGGCUGGACGCAGUGGCUCACGCCUGUAAUCCCAGCACUUUGGGAGGCCGAGGCGGGCGGAUCACAAGGUCAAGAGAUUGAGACCAUCCUGGCCAACAUGGUGGAACCCCAUCUCUACUAAAAAUAAAAAAAUUAGCUGGGCAUGGUGGUGCAUGCCUGUAGUCCCAGCUACUUGGGAGGCUGAGGCAGGAGAAUCGCUUGAACGUGGGAGGCUAAGGUUGCAGUGAGCCGAGAUAGUGCCACUGCACUCCAGACUGGGUGACUGAGCAAGACUUCAUCUCAAAAAAACAAAACAAAACAAAAAACUGGCCGGGCGCAGUGGCUCAUACCUGUAAUCCCAGCACUUUGGGAGGCCGAGAUGGAUGAAUCACGAGGUCAGGAGUUCGAGACCAGUCUGACCAACAUGGUGAAACAUGUCUCUACUAAAAAUACAAAAAUCACAAAAAUUUGCCGGGCGUGGUGGUACGCACCUGUAAUCCCAGCUACUCUGGAGGCUGAGGCAGGAAAAUUGCUUGAACGCGGGAGGCGGAGGUUGCAGUGAGCUGAGAUCACGUCACUGCACUCCAGCCUGGGCAACAGAGCGAGACUCCGUCUCAAAAAAAAAAAAAAAAAGAAAACUUUAAAUUUGUCUUCUGGGCGGGGUGUGGUGGCUCAUGCCUGUAAUCCCAGCACUUUGGGAGGCUGAGGCGGGUGGAUCACGAGGUCAGGAGUUCAAGACCAGCCUGGCCAAGAUGGUGAAACCCUGUCUCUACUAAAAAUACAAAAAUUAGCUGGGCGUGGUGGUAGGUACCUGUAAUCCCAGCCACUCGGGAGGCUGAGGCAGAGAACUACUUGAACCCAGAAGGCAGAGGUUGCAGUGAGCUGAGAUGGCACCACUGCACUCUAGCCUGGAUGAUAGAGACUUCAUUUGAAAAAAAAUAAGUAAAUUAAAUUAAUUUGUCUUCUAUGGAGAUGAAUUCUAUAGGGUGUAAAUUCAAGUUAAUGAAAUAUAGGCAGGAUAUUAGCCAGGCAUGGUGGCUUAUGCCUGUAAUCACAGUACUUUGGGAGGCCAAGAUGGGAAAAUUGCUUGAGGCCAAGAGUUCGAUACCAGCCUUG